UACGGAGGGUGCAAGCGUUGUUCGGAUUUACUGGGCGUAAAGCGCGCGCAGGUGGGUGAACAAGUCGGAAGUGAAAUCUUGAGGCUCAACCUCGAGGCUGCUCCCGAAACUGUUCGCCUAGGGACUGGUAGAGGCUGGUAGAAUUCCGGGUGUAGCGGUGGAAUGCGUAGAGAUCGGGAAGAAUCACCGGUGGCGAAGGCGGCCAGCUGGGGCCAG
rnacentral:rRNA from 1 species